GACAGAGGUGCCAAGCGUUAGGCGGAAUCACUGGGCUUAAAGCGUGUGUAGGCGGACUGGUAAGUACCUUGUGAAAUCCCACGGCUCAACCGUGGAACUGCUCGGUAUACUGCUUGUCUUGAGCCACUUAGGGGCUGUCGGAACAAAUGGUGGAGCGGUGAAAUGCGUAGAUAUCAUUUGGAACGCCGACGGUGAAAACAGCUCGCUGGGAGUGUCCUGACGCUGAGACGCGAAAGCCAGAGGAGCGAACGGG
rnacentral:rRNA from 1 species